GAUGAACGCUGGCGGCGUGCCUAAUACAUGCAAGUCGAGCGAACAGACGAGGAGCUUGCUCCUCUGACGUUAGCGGCGGACGGGUGAGUAACACGUGGAUAACCUACCUAUAAGACUGGGAUAACUUCGGGAAACCGGAGCUAAUACCGGAUAAUAUAUGAACCGCAUGGUUCAAUAGUGAAAGACGGUUUUGCUGUCACUUAUAGAUGGAUCCGCGCCGCAUUAGCUAGUUGGUAAGGUAACGGCUUACCAAGGCAACGAUGCGUAGCCGACCUGAGAGGGUGAUCGGCCACACUGGAACUGAGACACGGUCCAGACUCCUACGGGAGGCAGCAGUAGGGAAUCUUCCGCAAUGGGCGAAAGCCUGACGGAGCAACGCCGCGUGAGUGAUGAAGGUCUUCGGAUCGUAAAACUCUGUUAUUAGGGAAGAACAAAUGUGUAAGUAACUAUGCACGUCUUGACGGUACCUAAUCAGAAAGCCACGGCUAACUACGUG
rnacentral:rRNA from 1 species